rnacentral:lncRNA from 1 species
CACAAUUUAUGAGUCUGGUGAAGAGGAAACAUGAGGAUCCUAUACCUGAAACUUAUCAUUAAGUAAGAUUGAAAAGUAAGUUAAGAUUCAAUGACACCAGUUCUAAACUGCUUUCAUCAUUUCGAUAUUUUUUCUUCAGAAAAAUAGUUUUCCAAAAUGUAAGAAGUAUGCUAUCUUUGGUAACUCUUGCUAGAACUUGAUACUGUUGAGCC